GAUGAACGCUGGCGGCGUGCCUAAUACAUGCAAGUCGAGCGAACAGACGAGGAGCUUGCUCCUCUGACGUUAGCGGCGGACGGGUGAGUAACACGUGGAUAGCCUACCUAUAAGACUGGGAUAACUUCGGGAAACCGGAGCUAAUACCGGAUAACAUGUUGAACCGCAUGGUUCAACAGUGAAAGACGGUCUUGCUGUCACUUAUAGAUGGAUCCGCGCCGCAUUAGCUAGUUGGUAAGGUAACGGCUUACCAAGGCAACGAUGCGUAGCCGACCUGAGAGGGUGAUCGGCCACACUGGAACUGAGACACGGUCCAGACUCCUACGGGAGGCAGCAGUAGGGAAUCUUCCGCAAUGGGCGAAAGCCUGACGGAGCAACGCCGCGUGAGUGAAGAAGGUCUUCGGAUCGUAAAACUCUGUUAUUAGGGAAGAACAAAUGUGUAAGUAACUAUGCACGUCUUGACGGUACCUAAUCAGAAAGCCACGGCUAACUACGUG
rnacentral:rRNA from 1 species